rnacentral:rRNA from 1 species
AUUGAACGCUGGCGGCAGGCCUAACACAUGCAAGUCGAGCGGGGUUUUCGGACCUAGCGGCGGACGGGUGAGUAAUGCGUAGGAAGCUGCCCGAUAGAGGGGGAUACCAGUUGGAAACGACUGUUAAUACCGCAUAAUGUCUACGGACCAAAGUGUGGGACCUUCGGGCCACAUGCUAUCGGAUGCGCCUACGUGGGAUUAGCUAGUUGGUGAGGUAAUGGCUCACCAAGGCGACGAUCUCUAGCUGGUUUGAGAGGAUGAUCAGCCACACUGGAACUGAGACACGGACCAGACUCCUAUGGGAGGCAGCAGUGGGGAAUAUUGGACAAUGGGCGCAAGCCUGAUCCAGCCAUGCCGCGUGUGUGAAGAAGGCCUCCGGGUUGUAAAGCGCUUUCAGCGAGGAGGAAGGGUGGUGUGUUAAUAGCACAUCAUUUUGACGUUACUCGCAGAAGAAGCACCGGCUAACUCUGUGCCAGCCGCCGCAGUAAGAC